CCUACGGGAGGCAGCCGUGAGGAAUAUUGGUCAAUGGGCGCGACCCUGAACCAGCCAAGUAGCGUGAAGGAUGACUGCCCUACGGGUUGUAACCUUCUUUUAUAAAGGCAUAAAGUGAGGCACGUGUGCCUGUUUGUAUGUACUUUAUGAAUAAGGAUCGGCUAACUCCGUGCCAGCAGCCGCGGUAAUACGGAGGAUCCGAGCGUUAGCGGGAUUUCUUGGGUUUAAAGGGAGCGUAGAUGGGUUGUUAAGUCAGUUGUGAAAGUUUGCGGCCCAACCGUAAAAUUGCAAUUGAUACUGGCAGCCUUGAGGACAGUUGAGGUAGGCGGAAUUCGUGGUGUAGCGGUGAAAUGCUGAGAUAUCACGAAGAACUCCGAGUGCGAAGGCAGCCUACUAAACUGCCACUGACAUUGAUGCUCGAAAGUGUGGGUAUCAAACAGGAUUAGAUACCCCUGUAGUC
rnacentral:rRNA from 1 species